AUGACUACAGACUUGAGAAGUACAGAGCUUAAAAGGAAAAGAGACACACAAACAAUAAAAGAAGGGAAGACCAUCAGAUUUUAUUAUACUUCUGAGAUGGAUAAACUAUUGUUGUUAUAUAUAAAAAGAUUACAUUAUUUCCAGUCAAAAUUGGCUGUCAUCACUGUUGACAAGCUUAAGGGGAGUACAAAAAAACAAAUAGAGAGGAAACCCAGGGUAGAGUAGACAAAUAUUCUCAUGGUAGAUAUUAAUAUGUACAGUGAUUCAGGAAUGAAGGGUAGUCUAUAAAUAAAAUAAUGAUGAUAUGUAGUUUAGUUAGGAAAUAUAGAGUAGGAGAUAAACAAAAUAAUUAGGUGGAUUAUGUUAAUACAGUAAUUAGAAUGCAAUUUUUGAUUAAUAAGAGUUGUCCUAUGAGUCAUUUAUAGGCUUGUAACAGAAAGAAAUCUCAGUGUAUAAGCUCAGGUGUUGAAAUAUGCAAGAAACAGUUUUCUAUAUUUUUCUCUAGCUGAACUUAAUUUGUAUUCUGGGCCUCAGUUCCAUCAAGUGGCAGAAACUCAAUCUCAAUCAGCUUUCACUGACUCUCCUCCAGGACUGUGUCUACAAAUUGCCAGGUGGGGGGCCAUCUGGCCCUCCGUGUCAUCAACUAUCCCUGCUGGCACCUGCUGAGACGUCCUUCUUUCAGUCUGGUCUGUGGUCACUGGUCCUUGCAGGUUGCCACUGCAGCCUCCUUGUCCUCAUUCCAAGGACACAUUCAGUCUGCUGGCUCUCUGUGCAUUUUUCACUGGAGAAAUUUUGCUUCUCCUGUCCUGCCCUACACUAAGGACAACUCUGUGACCUGCUCUUAGCCUAUGCCUACUCAAGCCUUGCUUUUAGAGAGUCCUGAUUCAUUUGAAGUUUUUGUGAUUAUUCUCUCAACACUGGAUUUAUUCCAUGGACAUUGAUAAAGCAAACAUCCUUUCUCAGUGAUGUCUCAGUGAUAUCUAGACUCUUCUUUUUUGCCUCUCACUUUCUUUUUCUUCCUAGCCUAUGGAAUUUUGCCAUGGAGAGGGAGCUAACAUAGGAAGAACAGCUUUUAUCUACACAUUCUGCACUCUUCCAAAUUGUUUGGGUUUUGAAACUCAAAAUCCUAUGGCUAUGUUUUNNNNNNNNUCUAAUUUUAUUUCUGGCAUGUUGGUCACUAAUUGAUACAAUGAGAAUGAAAUAUUCUAACUACCUGAGUUAGGGGAAGGAGCAUAAGAUUAAAAAAAACAAGUACCAAAAAAUCACGUUGGUAAUAUGAUAUACUUUCUAGAGCUAAUUUUCAAGUAAUCAGAUAAACCUGUAUUAUGCAGUUACAUAUAUGCCACUGAAC
rnacentral:lncRNA from 1 species